GACGAACGCUGGCGGCGCGCUUAACACAUGCAAGUCGAGCGAGAACCCAGGCUUCGGCCUGGGGGAAAGCGGCGAACGGGUGAGUAUCACGUGGGUAAUCUGCCCUCGGCAUCGGGAUAGCCCGGGGAAACCCGGAUUAAUACCGAAUGGCCCAUCCGCUCUUCGGAGCGGCUGGAAAAGGUAGCUUCGGCCUCCGGCCGAGGAGGAGCCCGCGGCGGAUUAGCUUGUUGGUGGGGUAACGGCUCACCAAGGCAACGAUCCGUAGCUGGUCUGAGAGGACGAUCAGCCACACUGGGACUGAGACACGGCCCAGACUCCUACGGGAGGCAGCAGUGGGGAAUCUUGCGCAAUGGGCGAAAGCCUGACGCAGCGACGCCGCGUGCGGGAAGAAGGCCUUCGGGUUGUAAACCGCUUUCAGGAGGGACGAAGCCACUCAGGUUAAUAGCCGAGAGGGUGACGGUACCUCCAGAAGAAGCCCCGGCUAACUACGUGCCAGCCGCCGCCGUAAGAC
rnacentral:rRNA from 1 species